UACGUAGGGCGCAAGCGUUUGUCCGGAAUCACUGGGCGUAAAGGGCGCGUAGGCGGCUCAUGAAGGCUGUGGUGAAAGUCCGGGGCUCAACCUCGGAUCGGCCGUGGCGACUCGUGGGCUGGAGCACUGUAGAGGCGGGUGGAAUUCCGGGUGUAGCGGUGGAAUGCGUAGAGAUCCGGAAGAACACCAGUGGCGAAGGCGGCCCGCUGGGCAGUGGCUGACGCUGAGGCGCGACAGCGUGGGGAGCAAACAGG
rnacentral:rRNA from 1 species